UACGAAGGGGGCUAGCGUUGCUCGGAAUCACUGGGCGUAAAGCGCACGUAGGCGGAUUGUUAAGUCAGGGGUGAAAUCCUGGAGCUCAACUCCAGAACUGCCUUUGAUACUGGCGAUCUCGAGUCCGGGAGAGGUGAGUGGAACUGCGAGUGUAGAGGUGAAAUUCGUAGAUAUUCGCAAGAACACCAAUGGCGAAGGCAGCACUCUGGGACGUGACGUGACGCUGAGACGCGAAAGCGUGGGGAGCAACAGGG
rnacentral:rRNA from 1 species